rnacentral:rRNA from 1 species
UACGUAGGGUGCGAGCGUUAAUCGGAAUUACUGGGCGUAAAGCGUGCGUAGGCGGUUCGUUAAGUUCGGUGUGAAAGCCCCGAGCUUAACUUGGGAAUUGCGCUUGUGACUGGCGUGCUGGAGUGUGGCAGAGGGAGGUGGAAUUCCACGUGUAGCAGUGAAAUGCGUAGAGAUGUGGAGGAACACCGAUGGCGAAGGCAGCCUCCUGGGCCAGCACUGACGCUCAUGCACGAAAGCGUGGGGAGCAAACAGG